GACGAACGCUGGCGGCGUGCUUAACACAUGCAAGUCGAACGGAAAGGCCCUGCUUUUGUGGGGUGCUCGAGUGGCGAACGGGUGAGUAACACGUGAGUAACCUGCCCUUGACUUUGGGAUAACUUCAGGAAACUGGGGCUAAUACCGGAUAGGAGCUCCUGCUGCAUGGUGGGGGUUGGAAAGUUUCGGCGGUUGGGGAUGGACUCGCGGCUUCUCAGCUAGUUGGUGGGGUAGUGGCUUACCAAGGCUUGGAAGGGUAGCCGGCCUGAGAGGGUGACCGGCCACAGUGGAAGUGAGAAACGGUCCAGACUCCUACGGGAGGGAGCAGGAGGGAAUGGUCCGCAAGGGGCGAAAGGCUGACGGAGCAAAGCCGCGUGAGUGAGGAAGGUCGUCGGAUCGUAAAACUCUGUUAUGAGGGAAGAACAAAUGUGGAAGGAAAUAUGCACGUCGUGACGGUAAGUAAUAAGAAAGCCAAGGCUAACUACGUG
rnacentral:rRNA from 1 species